rnacentral:lncRNA from 1 species
CAGCCCAUGGGGGACAAUCCAGAGAGCACAGAAUAAGGGCCAACAUGGGGAGGAGAGCCUGUGGCUCCUUAGGAGCUCACAGCUCCUUUGUUCGCUGCACGUCCUCACCAGCUGAGGAGGCGUCUGGUGGGAGUAGAGGGAAGACCGUGGCCUCGUGUGUGUCCUCACCAGCUGGGGAGGCGUCUGGUGGGAGUAGAGGAUGAACGUGGCCUCAUGUGUGUCCUCACCAGCUGGGGAGGCGUCUGGUGGGAGUAGAGAAUGAACGUGGCCUCGUGUGUGUCCUCACCAGCUGGGGAGGCGUCUGGUGGGAGUAGAGAAUGAACGUGGCCUCGUGUGUGUCCUCACCAGCUGGGGAGGCGUCUGGUGGGAGUAGAGGGAAGACUGUGGCCUCGUGUGUGUCCUCACCAGCUGGGGAGGCGUCUGGUGGGAGUAGAGAAUGAACGUGGCCUCGUGUGUGUCCUCACCAGCUGGGGAGGCGUCUGGUGGGAGUAGAGGGAAGACCGUGGCCUCUGUGCGUCCUCACCAGCUGGGGAAGCGUCUGGUGGGAGUAGAGGGAAGAACGUCAGCCUCAUGGGUGGCGGCCUGGCUCUGCAGUCUCCGCCGUCGCUCAGGCAGCGUUCAGUUCAGGAUGGGCCAACAGUCGGGAAACCGUUUGGGGCUGUGAAGCUGAAAUGAGGAGGUCACCUGGGAGGCAGCCACCAGCGACCAGGACUCCUCGGGAGCAGAGGGAGCCACGGAGUGACCUGCAGCUCCCCAAGAUGACCCCGCAGAGCCCCAGACCCGUGUCCAACCUCGGCGUAGGCUCCCUCUGACUCGAAGAAGUGGGGUGGGCGUUCCUUGGACCAUGUGCUCACUCGCCCAUUCCCAUCGGCCGCUCUGUGUCCUCGGCACAGCGAUGCCAUGGGGCAGGUGGCCCCAGCUGCUCAUUGUGGUCCGGGUGCCAUUUGCAGGAUAUGAGGAGCCGAGUAGGUCACACAUACUUCCGCUCUG